rnacentral:rRNA from 1 species
UGGGGAAUUUUGGACAAUGGGCGAAAGCCUGAUCCAGCAAUGCCGCGUGUGUGAAGAAGGCCUUCGGGUUGUAAAGCACUUUUGUCCGGAAAGAAAUCCUUGGCUCUAAUACAGUCGGGGGAUGACGGUACCGGAAGAAUAAGCACCGGCUAACUACGUGCCAGCAGCCGCGGUAAUACGUAGGGUGCAAGCGUUAAUCGGAAUUACUGGGCGUAAAGCGUGCGCAGGCGGUUUGCUAAGACCGAUGUGAAAUCCCCGGGCUCAACCUGGGAACUGCAUUGGUGACUGGCAGGCUAGAGUAUGGCAGAGGGGGGUAAAUUCCACGUGUAGCAGUGAAAUGCGUAGAGAUGUGGAGGAAUACCGAUGGCGAAGGCAGCCCCCUGGGCCAAUACUGACGCUCAUGCACGAAAGCGUGGGGAGCAAACAGGAUUAGAUACCCUGGUAGUCCACGCCCUAAACGAUGUCAACUAGUUGUUGGGGAUUCAUUUCCUUAGUAACGUAGCUAACGCGUGAAGUUGACCGCCUGGGGAGUACGGUCGCAAGAUUAAAACUUAAAGGAAUUGACGGGGUCAUAGCUGUUUCCU